rnacentral:misc_RNA from 1 species
GGUAACAGUUGAACAAACCUCCUGCUUCGAUAUUCACGAGGCAAGGCCCCUCCCCCCCUCUCUCUCUUUGUCAUCUCCGCCAACCAUAGCGGCGAUUUCUUCAAAGUCCCAACACUCUCAGCUUUCGGUUUUUAUUACUCUCUCGCUCUUCAUUUCCUCACACAUUUUUCUCGCUCUAUAAUUCUCUGUUCAUUUUCCAGAAAAUGGCUCAAGUGGUGGCUACUCGUUCGAUUCAAUCUUCAUUCUCCAGCCCUAGCCAUGGAUCUCUGCAGAGUCAAGUUGAGAAGCUUAAGCCUCCUAGCUUAGCCUCAAAAGUGCUAGGAAGGAAUGAACGGAGCAAUAGUUGUAGAGCUGUUCGUGUUAAUAUGCCGCAGAUCAUUGCUAGGAGAUCUACGCGUGCCGAGCCUCAAGUUCUCCCUGUUUCUCCUGAAGAUGUUCCAAAGAGUGAGGAGCAAGAGCAGUAUCUUCAGGCAAUUCAGCAACUUGGUGACACUUCAGUGGGCAUGUGGUCUAAACCUACUGUAAGACGUAAGACCAAGAUAGUAUGCACAAUCGGUCCCUCUACAAACACAAGAGAAAUGAUAUGGAAACUGGCUGAAGCUGGAAUGAAUGUUGCCCGGAUGAAUAUGUCUCAUGGAGACCAUGCAUCCCACCAGAAAGUCAUUGAUUUGGUUAAGGAGUAUAAUGCACAGUCUAAGGACAAUGUCAUCGCCAUCAUGCUUGACACAAAGGGUCCUGAGGUUAGAAGUGGUGACUUGCCCCAGCCAAUCAUGUUGAAACCUGGACAGGAAUUCACUUUCACAAUUCAGAGAGGGGUUGGCACAGCCGACUGUGUCAGUGUCAACUAUGAUGACUUUGUAAAUGAUGUUGAAGUAGGAGACAUGCUUCUUGUUGAUGGUGGCAUGAUGUCUUUACAGGUGAAAUCCAAGACAGAAGAAUCUGUGAAGUGUGAAGUUAUUGAUGGAGGGGAGCUUAAGUCGAGGAGACAUCUAAAUGUUCGAGGCAAAAGUGCCACACUUCCCUCUAUUACUGAAAAGGACUGGGAUGAUAUCAAGUUUGGAGUAGACAAUAACAUUGACUUUUAUGCUGUUUCCUUCGUCAAAGAUGCAGCAGUGGUUCAUGAGCUGAAGAAUUAUUUGAAGAGUUGUGGUGCAGAUAUUCAUGUUAUUGUGAAAAUUGAGAGUGCAGACUCCAUCCCAAAUUUGCAUUCAAUAAUUACUGCAUCAGAUGGGGCGAUGGUUGCAAGAGGAGAUCUUGGAGCAGAGCUGCCUAUCGAGGAGGUUCCUUUGUUGCAGGAAGAAAUCAUCAAUAUUUGCCGAAGUAUGGGAAAAGCUGUCAUCGUUGCCACCAACAUGCUGGAAAGCAUGAUUGUCCAUCCCACCCCAACUCGAGCAGAAGUAUCAGAUAUUGCGAUUGCUGUUAGAGAGGGUGCUGAUGCUGUUAUGCUUUCUGGAGAAACAGCUCACGGAAAGUUUCCCUUGAAAGCUGUCAAAGUUAUGCAUACCGUGUCACUACGAACUGAGGCUACUAUUGUUGGUGGUGAAACCCCUACAAAUCUAGGCCAAGCCUUCAAGAACCAUAUGAGCGAGAUGUUCGCUUUCCAUGCAACUAUGAUGUCCAACACUCUUGGAACC